UACGAAGGGGGCUAGCGUUGUUCGGAAUCACUGGGCGUAAAGGGCGCGUAGGCGGCUUUAUAAGUCGGGGGUGAAAGCCUGUGGCUCAACCACAGAAUUGCCUUCGAUACUGUAUGGCUUGAGACCGGAAGAGGUAAGUGGAACUGCGAGUGUAGAGGUGAGAUUCGUAGAUAUUCGCAAGAACACCAGUGGCGAAGGCGGCUUACUGGUCCGAUACUGACGCUGAGGCACGAAAGCGUGGGGAGCAAACAGG
rnacentral:rRNA from 1 species